rnacentral:lncRNA from 1 species
CGAGCUUGACGACGUCCUGGCGUGUGGUGGCUCCGGCGACGAGUUCAGGUGAGCUUUCUCCCUUCUUCUUCUCUCUCUUUCUCUUUCUCUUUCUCUUUCUCUUUCUUAAUUUGUGAAUUAUAGAAGAUGGAGUUGGUGGGAAAGAAGGUGGAGAUGGUAGAAAAGAAGGUGGAAAUGGUGGGGUUGGGUAAAGAAGCGGAGAUGGUGGGAUUGGGUCAUUACAGUAUAGCUCUGGAUUACUAUGGCCGGCAGGUAACGAUGUCAGAUCCUUAUACACUCCGGGAUGUGAAAAAUGAAGUCGUGAGUGAUCAAUUUUGUUUCUUUUUUUCACACCAACACAGCCUUUUGGGGUCCCAAAAGCUUAUUUCUUUUGGACAAG